ensembl:snoRNA
AUGGCCCUGAAUCAAGGUCAGCAGUUUUCUAAAGCGGUUGGUUUCAAGCAGGAGCCUAAGGUAGUAUCUUUCUGUUGCUCACUUCAGAACUUUAGAAAUGUAAGGGUCAAUUCCUUAGAAAGAAACAACU